rnacentral:tRNA from 1 species
UGGGAUGUAGCUCAAUGGUAGAGUAUUUGCUUAUCACUUGCAAGGUACUGGGUUCAAUCCCCAGCACAGCAA